UGGUGGAGUGAUUUGUCUGGUUAAUUCCGUUAACGAACGAGACCUCGGCCUACUAAAUAGUCCGGCCUUCCCUUCGGGGAAAGCUAGGACUUCUUAGAGGGACUAUCGGUGUGUAGCCGAUGGAAGUUCGAGGCAAUAACA
rnacentral:rRNA from 1 species